UCGCUGCAACUCCCCUAUGGACUCGGGAGAGGCAAACGUCGAGAGCCAUGAGUCCUCCGAACAAAUCUGCACUGCUUCUUGACACACUGCUUGCUUAACCCGGAAGCCGCACCAAUGUGUUUGCUGGUGACCGAAGUCAGUGGGGCCAAUUCUGCGCCGCCUCAUGGGAGUCACGGCCGGCUGUGAAUCAGCCUGAGAUCAAACCUGGGUCUGUAGUGACGCCCCAAGCACUGUGACGGAGUGCCUUAGACCGCUGCGCCACUUGGGAGGCCCAAAUACCUAAUUUUCUAAAGAUGACAUCAUAAUCUGCCCUUGUAGCCCACACUCUUGAUAACAUCAACCACUGCUCCCUGCUCCAGAAUUUACAAUAAUGUUGAAUGAUGCAUUGCCCAACAAACUGCAUGUAAUGGAUCUAAUUUACUGAAAGAAAGAUGGAUCGUAAUGAUGAGAGAAUCAAAAGAGCUUUAAGACGCCGUCCUUAUGUGUUGAAACCAGUGAGGGUGAACACCCCUGAAUCCGUGUUGUGGCCAACCGGCAAGGUGCACAGAAGGCCAAAGCCUGUAAGUCAUAUCUGUCUGAAGAAAAACAUAUACACAUUAGUUAUGCAUUCUGCAUGUACAAACUGCAGUUAUCAGAAUUAAAGCAAUGCAGAUGUCCCUAUGUAACCUCAUUGAAUGCUGUCUGAACAGUCUACUUCAGUGCAGACCACUCAGAUCCACAAAAAACCUGUAAGUAACAUUCAAAUUCAACCACAUAACACUCCUUAUAUUAUUUAUUGAUACACAAUUCAAGGCCAAAAUGAGCAAAGCAGUGUUGAAUUCAUUCUUUACUGUUAACAGCCAAUCAUUGUGAGCUAUGGGCAGGACCAGAUAUCUGGGGAUGGAUGGAGCAUCAAUCCAGAGCCUCUCAGCCAGUCUGGAAGGGUGACUCGGGUGAUAGAGAGAAGAUAUGAUGACGUGAUCUCAUCCUCCAGUUCUGAUGACUUUUCCAUCUACUCCUUCACUGACUGUGAAUCUGAGUGUGAUGAUGAGGAUCAUGAAAGGAGGACACAACCGCUGAAAAUUGAGAAUGGAAAGGUGACAAAGCUUGAUGUGAGGGAUAUGGACGAGGAUGAUCUGUCUCUCCACUCCUUCGAUGAGUCAGACUUCCUGAGCCCAGGGAAGGUCUCAGGUCCUGUAUCUGUCAAGAAUGGCCUCUCUCCUCUUGUGACCUCAGCACACCGGACCCUGGCUGAAGCCCUACGGGCCCUGCCCUCUGCUGUUGGCUCUCCCUACCCAGUAAAUGUCCCAAGGCCCUGGACUCCUCUCAACCCUGUCAUUAUCGCUCCACCCCGAACAGAGAACUUUCCAUACCGCCACAGCCCUCGCCUGGCUCCCAUCACCAACCUGAGCGAGACAGGCAGGAAGCUGAUCCAGGAAAUGGCUGGAGUGCCGCCACAGGUUUCUUCAGUGGCUGCUGCCCAAACUGAGAUGUUCAAAGAAAUAAUGGCCAACUAUUACUUCUACCACACACACACACACACACACACACACACACACACACACACACACACACACACACACACACACACACACACACACACACACACACACACACA